AUCGCAGAUCAGCAACGCUGCGGUGAAUACGUUCCCGGGCCUUGUACACACCGCCCGUCAAGUCAUGAAAGUCGGUAACACCCGAAGCCGGUGGCCCAACCCUUGUGGAGGGAGCCGUCUAAGGUGGGACUGGCGAUUAGGACUAAGUCGUAACAAGGUAGCCGUACCGGAAGGUGCGGCUGGAUCACCUCCUUUCUAAGGAG
rnacentral:rRNA from 1 species